rnacentral:rRNA from 2 species
AAGGGCACCACAAGAACGCGUGGAGCAUGUGGCUUAAUUUGACUCAACGCGGGAAAUCUUACCGGGUCCGGACACACUGAGGAUUGACAGGCAAUAUUAAUAUUUUCUGUUUACAGUAAUUUAUUAUGUUAAAUAUGCUAGUCCUUUCAUGAUUAUGUGAUAGGUGGUGCAUGGCCGUUCUUAGUUCGUGGAGUGAUCUGUCUGCUUAAUUGCGUUUCACUAAGGGCCUAUAAUUUACGUGUGUUGCGGCACUUUGACCCCUCAUUUUUUUUUUAAUUAAAUUUUAUGAGCGCGCGUCUUAGUUUGUUUAGCUCGCACAAUUAGGUCCUGAAAGCAACGAACGUGACCGCAACCUCUUGUUGCCUUUAUACCAAACAUGAGUUUAAUUCUCUUCGGAGGGUUUUCAUGAAAAAAGGCUUUUUAAACUAGAGGGACCGCUGUUACUUUCUUAAACCAGAGGAAGGUUGCGGCAAUAACAGGUCUGUGAUGCCCUUAGAUGUUCCGGGCUGCACACGUGCUACAAUGAUUAUUGCAGUGAGCAUCUCAUUUUUUACACACCGCAUACGCGAGUCUAUUUAUUCACUUUCGGGUGCUUUAAAUGUGAUCUCUGCGAGCGGUAAAGCCUGCUUCGAAAGUAAGUGGGUAAUCAAUUAGAAGUAAUGAUUUCCUUUUUUUAGCACACAUAUAUACGGCGUUUAUACCCGGGCUGCACUUGUUGUAGCUUUUGUGCGUAUAGAUGUUUUUUCCGUAUGUGCGAUUGUCAAUUCAUGGUGGGGACAGACCAUUGUUAAUUGUUGGUCUCGGUCUUAACUAGGAAUGCCUUGUACGGGUCUUUGGUUCAACAAACCACCCGGAAUACGUCCCUGCCCUUUGUACACACCGCCCGUCGCUCUUACCGAUGGACUUCUCUGUGAGUUUGAGGGACUGGGAACGCAGAUUUUUAUCUGCACACCUAUGGAAACUUAAACGAACAGUGUGGUCUAAAGGAAAGAGAAGUCGUAACAAGGCAUCGGUAGGUGAACCUGCAGAAGGAUCA